GUGAUCCGCCGACUUAGGGUUGCACCCUCGCAGCUUCACCCAAAUUCUUGGGCCUUUAUCCGGGGUUUUGUGAAAGUGUGUGCCUACCUCUAUCUCCCUUGUACAGUUUCUCUUUUCUUCUUUUUCUUUGAUGUAUAUACUUCUCGGACGGGGGCCGAGGCCAAAGAAAGGAGAGGGUGGGUAACCCUUCGAGGUACUCCAAGAAGGGGUAUCUUCAUUUCGUAUUCCCAAUCCUUUAAAGGCUUCAAGGAUGCCUACUUUAGGGUGGCAUCUCGCUCUGAGUCUCUUCCCUGGUUUGCCGACAAGUGACUGGAUGAAUGGGGCAUAUCAUCUCGGUUUGAAUUAUACUGGAUCGUAAUUGUCUCGUCCCAAGGUUCUAUUUCAAGUCCAACCACCCUGACCCUGAAUCUUCGCACCUUCACCGCACCGUUACCAACUGCUCUUCGUCGGCGCCGGCGCCGCUCACCACCGCCGAUCGCCACGGCGUCAAGGAUGACAUAUCGCUUAUUUUCCGCAGCGUCGCCAACUUCCUCGCUCCACCGCCAUCUUCUUCUUCUUCUUAUGCCGGCGAUUCCUCGUCUUCGCAAACUCUCACCGGAAUCCGGAACGAUCUCGUGGAGAUCGGCGGAAGCUUCAAGAGCUCGCUCUCCCUUCUCUCCUCGAACAAAGCCGUCACCGGAAUCUCGAAGAUCGCUUCUCAAUUGUUGCAGUUCGAGCGUUUUCAACAGCGUGUUGAUGGUGAUUAUGAUAUUUUUUUUUAUUAUCUGUUAAUUUUUCUGAUUAUGAUCCUCUCUUUUCUCAAUUGAAUCUGUAUAAUCUGAUUAUGAUAAAGUCUGUAAUUGCUUAAUUAGUUUAUUGUAGCUUGUCCUCUUAAUUUAACCCUUUUUUGAUCUCGUGAGUCAUGUUCGUUUGAAGUUGGUUUUUUUUUUUAAGUUUAUAAUUUCCUUUAAGGACAAAUUAGUUUUUUGUUAUGUUCAAAUUUGACCAGAAAUGCCGGGAGUGGUUUCUGUUUUUCCCAAUUCUAAAAGAAAGCUGCAUACCACUCAUUCAUGGGACUUCAUAGGACUUCUGGACGGAAAAACCAUGGAGAAUUGCAUCCAUGCUUACUGGUUAUCUCUUUGUUGUUGAAAUUUUUAUCCUUCUUUGUCACUUAUUUAUUAAAUAAAAAAAUAUUAAAAAAGUUCCCAAGGUUGAAUUUUGAAGGACUGAUCCUCUUUUCUUCAAAUUCUUUCUCAUUAAAAGCAAGGACUGUUAUUCAUUUCAUUAACCUAAGGGCAACAAAAAUUCUUUGGUAGGAACUUCCUGUCAUAAGUAUGGUAAUGGUACUGUUUUCACUUUUGAUACAUUUUACUUCAUAACAAAAGUUGGAUCACGGGGGUUUCAGCAUAUUAAUUAGCGGAUGGAGAUUUUCAUGUUUUUUAUUUAGACAGGUGUUAUCCCAAGUACAAUUAACUAUGCCCAAGUCUUUAAAAUCUAAAUACAAUAUCAAUAGUGAUUAUUGAAACAUCUCCAAAAAUUUUAGGAACAAUAAUAGGAAAAUUACAAAAGAUAUAAAUAUCAUUAGGAAAUAGCCCAUUGGAUCAUGAAGGAGAAUCUGCUUAGAAAGAAUGAAAGCCGUUAAUAGGAUUUAAAGGAUUGAGGCCUAAAGGAGUGAAAAUAGACCUAAGAAGAAUUAUGAGGAACCAAACUAAAUAAGACCAACAAGCCAACUAAUUUUUAUUUAACAACAAUUCUAAAAGCCUCUUUCAGAUCUCCAAGGGAUAGUUCUGGUCAUGGGAGCCAUACAGCUUCCACAGCAGCAGGACGCUACGUGGCAAACAUGAAUUAUAUGAGGCUGGCAGCUGGAGAAGCUAGGGGAGGUGCACCUAUGGCUAAAAUUGCUGUGUACAAAACAUGUUGGGAUUCUGGUUGCUAUGAUGUUGACUUACUAGCUGCCUUUGAUGAUGCAAUAAGAGAUGGGGUUCACAUUAUAUCAUUGUCUCUGGGUACUGAAGCUCCCCAAGGUGACUAUCGAAUAACAGCAUCACGGUUCUUAAUGUUAUCUCUCAUGAACUAAGCAAAAGAGUAAAUAUUUUAGACUUAGUUUUUAAUGGAUUAUUAUAUGUAUCACUACUCAAAUAAUAUAAUUUAAUAGUUUAUUUAUGUAUUGCUGAAAGAACCAAACAAAGAAAACCAUGUUCCAAGAUUGAUAAUGUGCUUCCUAAUGUAUUGUCAAUGCAUUCAGUAAGCUUGCUUCUUGAGGCAGUUUUGCUUAAAACCAAAAGUUCGUUGCUCGAGUUGAUAUGGAGGAAUUACUUUAGGUUUUCAUCAAUGAAAUAUGGGAAUUCAAUUUUCCAUUUAGGUAUGGAUUGGUUGAAGUCUUUGAUACCUCUGGCAUUUUAUAGAGUUAUGGUUUAUAAAUUCUGCUGUUUUUAUUAUGGGGUGUUAUCCAUAGAUAGCAGUUGUGAAGUGCAAGUCAGAUAAUGCAACUCUACAGAACUUUUUUUUUAUAAAAUCAAUUUGUUCAUAUUACAUUCUUAUAAUCAGUUUUUCUUUUCAGGUGGCCCAAGUCAGGUAAAUAUAUUUGGAUAACUAUGCUAAUCAACUAAUGCAUGACCGUGCAAGAGUGCAUGGAGAAGUAGGCCUGCAUUUUCCAAAUUAUUUAUCUUUAUUUUUUAAUUCAAAAUUUUUUAUUUUGAUAUCGAGUGUAAUCCUGUAAGCCAGUGUGUGCCCUGGAAACUACCAGGCUGUAGUAGUACUGCAAAGUGAAAUAACUAAUUGAGGCAUUGUAUAAUUUGUUAACAUGGCCAUGUUGAUCAAUAGUAUUAUUUGGGCCACUCAGAUUCUUUUGCUAGUUGGAGAUUUGUUGUUUGUAUUUGUGUAUAUUAAUUAAGGAGUUAUGAUUGCCAGAGAGAAGUAUCUAUGUCAAACUAAUGAGAGAUGUUGAGAGGCCUACUCAGGUGGAAAAUUGCAAAUAGACCCAUCCAAGAUGUGUUGAGGCUUCAGAAAACCAGAGUACAGAUAUAUGAAAUAUGCAUUGCAAGCUUUUGUUCUUCUCUCAUUAGCAAAGCAGGGAGUCUUUCGAGGAUUUAAAGACACUAAAACUCCUUUAUAUGCCACUGGUAUGCCUUGACAAACUUAAAUUGUUAAUUAUCUAGUGUGACAAUAUCAUGUCCCUUUGGCGUGUCACAGGACAGGCUUUUUAACAAUGGCACCAAUAUUUUGCAAUAACUGUUGAGUAAUAAUUAAAAUUAUGAACUCCAUUGAGUUGUCAUAUGCCAUACACUUGAUAAGAUGAAAUUUUCCUUUACUCUUUAUACUCCCAUUAAGGAUCUUGCCAAAGGACUAUAAAAAAAACCAAAAUUUUGACAUAAUCUGUUCUUCCUGUGUCUUUGAAAUCAUUUAAACUAAUAAUGUUCUCUAGAAUCUUGUAUAAGGCUUUGUUCAACACUGCUUGCAUUCAUUGUCUUUGCAGAAUGCAAUGAAAAACAGCUCUCUUCAGAUGGCUGCUAUAGAGCAACAGAAAGCUGAUGAAAAUGUUUUGAAACUGGCUGGAGAUCAAAAGAAGCAAAAAGAACAACUCCAUGCUAAAAUCAUUCAGCUUGAAAAACAACUGGAUAUGAAACAAAAGCUGGAAUUGGAGAUUCAGCAACUAAAAGGAUCAUUAAAUGUGUUGAAACACAUAAAAGAUGGUGAAGAUGCAGAAAUAAGGGUUUAAGAGAAAAGGAACAGUCACUUCAAGACUUAGAUGCAUUGAACCAAACACUUGUCAUUAAAGAGCGUAAGAGUAAUGAUGAGCUGCAGGAAGCUCGAAAAGAAUUUAUUUGGAAGAGCAUCUGUUCUACGAGGUCUAGUUUUAUGGUUAUUUCACAUUUAGACUGUUUCACAUGUAAUAUUUUAAUGAUGAUUUUACUUGCCCGUUUGAAGUUUUAUAUGAAUUG